GCGUAACGCGUAUGCAACCUACCUUCAUCUGGGGGAUAGCCCGGAGAAAUCCGGAUUAAUACCGCAUAAAAUCACAGUACGGCAUCGUACAAUGAUCAAACAUUUAUGGGAUGGAGAUGGGCAUGCGUGUCAUUAGUUAGUUGGCGGGGUAACGGCCCACCAAGACCGCGAUGACUAGGGGAUCUGAGAGGAUGACCCCCCACACUGGUACUGAGACACGGACCAGACUCCUACGGGAGGCAGCAGUAAGGAAUAUUGGUCAAUGGGGGCAACCCUGAACCAGCCAUGCCGCGUGCAGGAAGACGGCCCUCUGGGUUGUAAACUGCUUUUAUUCGGGAAUAAACCUACUUACGUGUAAGUAGCUGAAUGUACCGAAGGAAUAAGGAUCGGCUAACUCCGUGCCAGCAGCCGCGGUAAUACGGAGGAUCCAAGCGUUAUCCGGAUUUAUUGGGUUUAAAGGGUGCGUAGGCGGCCUGUUAAGUCAGGGGUGAAAGACGGUAGCUCAACUAUCGCAGUGCCCUUGAUACUGAUGGGC
rnacentral:rRNA from 1 species